CUACGUGCCAGCAGCCGCGGUAAUACGUAGGGUGCGAGCGUUAAUCGGAAUUACUGGGCGUAAAGCGGGCGCAGACGGUUACUUAAGCAGGAUGUGAAAUCCCCGGGCUCAACCUGGGAACUGCGUUCUGAACUGGGUGACUAGAGUGUGUCAGAGGGAGGUAGAAUUCCACGUGUAGCAGUGAAAUGCGUAGAGAUGUGGAGGAAUACCGAUGGCGAAGGCAGCCUCCUGGGAUAACACUGACGUUCAUGCCCGAAAGCGUGGGUAGCAAACAGGAUUAGAUACCCUGGUAGUCCACGCCCUAAACGAUGUCGAUUGGCUGUUGGGCAGCUUGACUGCUUAGUAGCGAAGCUAACGCGUGAAAUCGACCGCCUGGGGAGUACGGUCGCAAGAUUAAAACUCAAAGGAAUUGACGGGGACCCGCACAAGCGGUGGAUGAUGUGGAUUAAUUCGAUGCAACGCGAAGAACCUUACCAGGUCUUGACAUCCCUCUGACCGCUCUAGAGAUAGAGUUUUCUUCGGGACA
rnacentral:rRNA from 1 species